UGCCAGCCGCCGCGGUAAUACGGAGGGUGCAAGCGUUGUUCGGAAUUAUUGGGCGUAAAGCGCGUGUAGGCGGUUCGUUAAGUCUGAUGUGAAAGCCCGGGGCUCAACCCCGGAAGUGCAUUGGAAACUGGCGAACUUGAGUACGGGAGAGGAAAGUGGAAUUCCGAGUGUAGGGGUGAAAUCCGUAGAUAUUCGGAGGAACACCAGAGGCGAAGGCGACUGUCUGGGCCAUUACUGACGCUAAGGCGCGAAAGCGUGGGGAGCAAACAGGAUUAGAUA
rnacentral:rRNA from 1 species